rnacentral:rRNA from 1 species
AUUGAACGCUGGCGGCAGGCCUAACACAUGCAAGUCGAGCGAGCGGCGGACGGGUGAGUAAUGUAUGGGGACUGCCCGAUAGAGGGGGAUAACUACUGGAAACGGUGGCUAAUACCGCAUACUAUCGGAUAACCCAUAUGGGAUUAGCUAGUAGGUGGGGUAAAGGCGCACCUAGGCCACGAUCUUUAGCUGGUCUGAGAGGAUGAUAACACAUACUGGGAUGUAGACAUGGCCCAGAUUCCUACGGUGGCAGCAGUGGGUAAUAUUGCACAAUGGACGCAAGCCUGAUGCAGCCAUGCCGCGUGUAUGAAGAAGGCCUUAGGGUUGUAAAGUACUUUCAGCGGGGAGGCGUUACCCGCAGAAGAAGCACCGGCUAACUCCGUGCCAGCAGCCGCGGUAAUUC